ensembl:miRNA
CUGGGCAAGGAUGACAGCGAGGAAGACAGGGGGCUUCUAAGAGGAGGAGUCACAACUCCCUGAGAUCUAGGUUCUGCAAGCCUCCCUGUGUAUC